ACAUGCAAGUCGAACGGGCAGCAUGGAAGAGGCUUGCUCUUCUGAUGGCGAGUGGCGAACGGGUGAGUAAAGCAUCGGAACGUGCCCAGUCGUGGGGGAUAACGUAGCGAAAGUUACGCUAAUACCGCAUACGAUCUACGGAUGAAAGCGGGGGACUCGCAAGGGCCUCGCGCGAUUGGAGCGGCCGAUAUCAGAUUAGGUAGUUGGUGGGGUAAAGGCUCACCAAGCCAACGAUCUGUAGCUGGUCUGAGAGGACGACCAGCCACACUGGAACUGAGACACGGUCCAGACUCCUACGGGAGGCAGCAGUGGGGAAUUUUGGACAAUGGACGCAAGUCUGAUCCAGCCAUUCCGCGUGCAGGAUGAAGGCCCUCGGGUUGUAAACUGCUUUUGUACGGAACGAAAAGGUUUCCAUUAAUACUGGGAGCUCAUGACGGUACCGUAAGAAUAAGCACCGGCUAACUACGUG
rnacentral:rRNA from 1 species